UGGGGCGUCGUCCAAGGGUAGGACAUCAGACUUUGACUCUGAGUAUCGUGGUUCGAAUCCACGCGCCCCAG
rnacentral:tRNA from 1 species